AUGAAUACUCGACAUGGAAUUCUCAUGACAAUAUUACAUUAGGUUUGUCAUACGUGUCAUAAACUCGGGACUGUCGCCAGUUUUCGACUUAGUAUCCUGAAAAAUAUUUUCGGGACGCCUUUAUGACCCGGUUUUGGAAUAAAAUUAAAAUAGUUUAACUUAUUAUUGGUUGAAAUUGCUAGUGAAAAAUGGCAAUUAUUUUUUUUUUUAAUUUGUCAAUACGUCAUAAAAAACACUGAACUUUUAAAGCUAGCCCAAUGUUUUUGCAAUAUCUUUACCAGCACUUAUUGCUAAUGUUGAACGUGUAUUUUCUCCAAUGGAAACACAAUUAGCAAGCAAUUUUUAAUGUGCAAGUACAAUUACAAAAAAACUUGUUCUGAAUUUUAUGAUUAUGUUAAGACUCGUCCAUCUCUACUUUUAUUGGUUAAAUUUUUCAGUAAAUAUGAAUGGUAUGACAAAAAAAAAAAGAGAGACUGAAGAGCCCAGACCUAGUACAAACAAUAUCAUCGUUACGUAUCUCGGGUAAAAUUUGUGCCUUGUGUAGGUACAGUCAUUGGAAGUACCAAUUGUUUUGUAAUGCAACACAUUUUUGGAAAUUGGCAAGACUCGAGUGUAUAAAAAUAUAGAAAUUCACUAAACCAUGACGAUGGACAUAAAAAUAAAAUGC